rnacentral:lncRNA from 1 species
GUGGACAAGGAGGAGGGGGCUGCAGGCCAGGACACACCUACGAGUAGAAGAGUCCUGCUGUUAGAUCCCCUAUCGUGACGCUCCAUGCUGUGAUGGGCAGAUGUCCCAGGCUAGCCAAAGAACUCCAUCCCCUGGGCCUAAUGACUGAUUCAGGUGAAGGAUCUAAAACCUGAAAAGAGGCCAAAUGAUUCCUCAAAACCACGCAAGUACGAAGUAGCAGAGCGGAUCUCAAAUCCAGAGCACUGCGUGUUUUGAAAUAUACAAAUAGUGGGAAACGAAAUCUUUGUUCUGGAUGCAGUUAUAAUUUGGAAAGCGAGGAAAUAAAUUAUAACAAGGGGAAAAAACAGACACAGAGGGAUUGAAAUGCAUAACAAUAGAGAUGAAACACGAAGAGUGAUAAAUGAAGAUUGAGUGUGCACACCUUCUGGAGGAGCCCUGAUUGAGUAUUUUAAAAUACUACUAAAGUCAUGCCGUGUGACUUCUGAAGCUAGCUCCUAAGAAGUCCUUGCAGCUUCUGCCUGCGACUCUUAGAACACUUGCUUUGAAGGAUGCCAGAUGCUGUCUUAAAAGUCUGAGCACUCUGAAACCAUCAUGCUGUGAGGAAGCCCAAGCUAACCACAUGGGCAAAAAAGAUGCCCUCUGACUGCCACCAUUUGAGACACUCUAAUUAAGAACUGCCUCAUUGAGCCCAUGAGGCCCUGUGAAUGAUAAUAAUAAAUUGUUUUUAACCACUAUGUUUUUGGAUUUGUUAUAAGUUUAUAGAUAACAAGAAAAAGUUAUAUUAGCAUGGUAAUAAAAUUAUGGAUAUGUGUAA